AUUCUUUUGUAUUUCAUCUACGUGAUGAUGGGGUCUUCAUGCUCUUGUGUGAGGUGUGCCUCCCUCAAACUGUGUGAGGACCCCAGCAUAUCACCCUUUCCGACA